rnacentral:rRNA from 1 species
GAUGAACGCUGGCGGCGUGCUUAACACAUGCAAGUCGAACGAGAAGUGAAGACGGAAACCUUCGGGCGGAAGGCUUUAUUUCGAGUGGCGGACGGGUGAGUAACGCGUGGGUAACCUGCCUCAUACAGGGGGAUAACAGUUGGAAACGACUGUUAAUACCGCAUAAGACCACAGCACCGCAUGGUGCGGGGGUAAAAACUCCGGUGGUAUGAGAUGGACCCGCGUUCGAUUAGCCAGUUGGCGGGGUAACGGCCCACCAAAGCGACGAUCGAUAGCCGAGCUGAGAGGAUGACCGGCCACAUUGGGACUGAGACACGGCCCAAACUCCUACGGGAGGCAGCAGUGGGGAAUAUUGCACGAUGGGGGAAACCCUGAUGCAGCGACGCCGCGUGAGUGAAGAAGUAUUUCGGUAUGUAAAGCUCUAUCAGCAGGGAAGAAAAUGACGGUACCUGAGUAAGAAGCCCCGGCUAACUACGUG